rnacentral:rRNA from 1 species
GGACUACCGGGGUAUCUAAUCCUGUUUGCUCCCCUAGCUUUCGCGCAUCAGCGUCAGGUCUAAAUUAGAAAAUCGCCUUCGCCACUGGUGUUCUUCCACAUAUCUACGCAUUUCACCGCUACUUGUGGAAUUCCAUUUUCUCCAUCUAUCCUCUAGAUAGGGAGUUUCAAAUGCAGUUCCGGGGUUGAGCCCCGGGAUUUCACAUCUGACUUCCCUAUCCGCCUACGCGCCCUUUACGCCCAAUAAAUCCGAUUAAUGCUCGCACCCUCCGUAUUACCGCGGCGGCUGGCAC